GGGACAAGACAUGUAAUGGUGGGAAUGAAUACAUUGUUUAAUACAUGGUGGGGGACAAGACAUGUUGUAAUGGGCAAUAAUUCAUUGUUUAAUAUAGUGAUGGACAAGACAUAUGGUGGUGAGAAUUAAUGUAUUUGUUUAGUAUAGUGGGGAACAAAGCAUGCAAGUGUGGGGAACAAAACAUAAUGGGAUGGAAAGAUUAAAAAGGGAUUGAUUAAAGUAUGUUGCCCAUACCUGCUUUGGGUUUUAAAUAGAGUCACUUAGGAUGGUUUUGGGGAGAGGAUUUUUUUGGAGGGACGAAGACAUUCUGGAAAUCUAGAGAAGGGUUGAACAUUUCUCUGAAAAUCUUAAGAGAGUGCUGGAGAGUUUAAAAAGAGAAAACAAAAACAAAGUGAGAGACGAGUUUAGUUUCGGGUUUAAUACACGCGUGGUUGAGUCUGUUUGUGGUGAUGCGGGUUGUUGCUGUUUGGUCUUUUACAAACUUUUGGGGUUGUUCUAUCGAGUUUGCUUGGUUUUCUUCAAACUUUCCCGGGCCUCGAAUCUGGUUUGACUUGCUGCUAUUGGGUUGCUGUUGUCUUGCCGUGUUAUUACUGUUGCUGACUGCUCUUUCAUCUUCUUGUAUUGUCAUUUCCAGGUACACAGCUGUAACCUUGGUCAUUUGUAAGCCGAAAAUAUAAGCAUGAAUAUACAUGAAGAUUUGAAGCUUUAAGUUUGAUCUAGAUUUUCUACUGAUUUGUAUAUUAGGAUAGAAUAUCAUGCAAAUGCCUGCGGAAUGCCUAAACUGGACUGUUGAAUCUAUUUCUACAAACAUGUGAAUAAUGUUAGUAAACUAAUAUUCUCGAAUGUUAGUGAUUGAUGUUAGCUUAAUGUCGGUUCUUUAGCAUUGACGCAUUUCUUCGACAAAUCGUAAAAAGAGUAAAAAAUGGCUUUGUAUUACACAUAGUCAAUUCCAAUAGUUCAAGUCAUCUAAUAAUGUUAGUUUAAAUUAAUCAAUGAAUAGUUGGUCUGUUUUGAUAUUACCGGGUGUCAAUCUCGUGUCCUAUUCAUAAUCUCAACUUUAGUGUUAUUAACUAGUAGAAUAAGGAACGAAAUAAUCUCCCUUUGUACAAGCCCGAUUACAAUUUCCCAUUUUGCAUUUUCGUCUUAGACUAGUAACUAAUAAGUCACGCCCCCUUUUUAAGCAUGUAAUUAAUUUGGAGAUUUUCUUUUAGAGACAAACUUAAUAAAAAUGUAGUCACUUUAGGAUUGUCCUUUUAAAAUAAAUGAGAUGAGCCUCGCUGGAUAAACACAUAAAUGGCGGGGCCCUCGUUAAAUGUAUGUAUUAAAUACUUAGAUUCCGGGACGGGUCGUUUAGCAAAUUCCACGGCCCUACCCAAAAUAAAGAUACGCUAGUCGUUUAGGUCGCGUAUUUAAUUAGUGUUAUCUUCUUAAACUCGGGUGCACAUUUAUGUGACCCAAAUCCAAAUCUCAACAGAGUUGAAAUGUGCCAACCACGGGUGCAUUGAUGUAACGUGGUUCGAGAUGUAUUUCCACGAUGUUGCAAUUCUUGAUAAAAAUAAUAAUAAUGAUAAAAGCAGUUAAAAGUUAGAAUUCGCACAUAGGUUCAACAUGUAUUAAAUCAGAUAAUCAAGCCGAAUAUGACAGUUGAGCGACCGUGCUAGAACCACGGAACUCGGGAAUGCCUAACACCUUCUCCCGGGUUAACAGAAUUCCUUAUCCGAAUUUCUGGUACGCAGACUGUUAAACAGAGUCAAUAUUUUCCUCGAUUCGGGAUUCAACCGGUGACUUGGGACACCAUAAAUCUCCCAAGUGGCGACUCUGAAAUAAAUAAAUAAAUCCCGUUUCGAUUGUCCUUUAAUUGAAAAAACUCUCUUUUACGCCCCUUUGCGGGGUGUAGGCAAAAAAGGAGGUGUGACAGCUAAUUCUUACUAAAAGAUAGUGCUUUAUGAAAAUUUCUCUCCUUAUAAUUUUAUCACAAUCCGACAACCUCAAAUCAAAUGAAACGUUAACAGAGGAUAAUUUCAAAAACCCAUUUCAGUUAAGGUCUUAAGUCAAUUCAACCAAUCCAUAGAAAAACACAUCAUGAACAAAGUCUCAUACGCAAUAUUAAGUGAAAGGGGCAAGAAAUGGACCUUUGUGAGCAAAUCUUUUCAAUUUAACAGUCUCCAGCCAAAACUUGUACAAUCGCCACGGGUGAAUUGUAAAAUAAAGUCACUGACCAAAUUUGAACCCAAAAAUUGACUCAAGAUGGAAAUCGCGCACGGCCUCAACGAACCUCGACCACAAACCGAUGAGAUAACUCUUAGUUAAGCAGGAAUUAAUUUUAAUACUCGACAGACCAUGGACAAGACCUUAACCGAAGCUCCGACACAUUCGACCUCGUCGGAAAUUCGAGACUAGUCGGAAAGACAAACUUCGAACCCCAAACUUUAAAAGCCUCACUUCGACUCCAUUGUGGGGUGAUGCUCGAUUUUUGUGGGUGGCGGGACGUUAGAGUUUAGGUGUUUGACUGGAGUUUUUUCGCUGGUUUUGAUUGAUUUUUGGAUAUGGUUUCACUGCUGAUUUUUGAUGGAAAAAGUGGCGUGUUUGGUGUUGAACUCGACUGAAAAAGGAAGAUGCUACAUGGCUUUGUUUUGGGGCUGGUUGAGGUCGCUUUUGAGCUUGAUUUGGGGUGUUUUUCAGCUCGUUUUUUGUGAUGACCAAUAGGUCAUCUAGAGCUUUAACCCUUAAUUUUGUGUUUUGAAACCUCAAAAAGAUCCUUUUAGCUAUCCUGAUUUUGCUGCACAGUGCCUUUUUUGGGAAGGCUUUUAUAUGAAAAAUUGAUUAGAAUGUGAACUCUAGCUUUAAAACUCAUUUGGGUUAACUUCGGUCAACUUUUUGAGCAAAUGAACUCGGAUUUGUAUUUUGACGGUCCCGAUGGAUCCGUAUCUUGAUUUGGGACUUGAGCGUAUGCCCGAAAUCAAAUUCGAAGGUCCC
rnacentral:lncRNA from 1 species